UAGAUUUAGUAGACGCAGAGCAGAGCCGCCGUGAGCUUUUUAUGACACCGCCUCAGAACAAGAUCACGUAACGUUUGCUGCAAUCAUUCACUCGCCACAUUAAAGCUACUAGUUACGUAAUUUACACCACUCAUCUCACUCUCUAGCAUUCAGUCGCUUCACUUUCCUUGAAGGUAACAGACUAAAUCUCCACCUAUAAAUAAGUUUCUUGUCUACCAUGAACAGCGGAAAGGAUGAUCUAUGUUCUGCACGAGCUCUAUCAGUUGCGACUUCACACCUUCUCGUUGCCUAUAUGAAAGUUGGUUGUUGUUCUAUGGGUGUCGACAUACUUUUCCUUGACGUAAAGUCGAUGAUGAUUCUAGGUUCUGCUAAAGCACACCGACUCAAAGAUCAAACUCGAGUUUUGGUAGCAGCAUAACGGAUAAAGAUGAUGAUCAAACCAUUCCACGUAUAUUAGUUGAAGAUGAUAGCUUAACAAGAGAUGACAAGCAGGGGAAGAGAAGAGACUGUCUCAUUUAGAUUCGAUUUAUCACACUCCUCGGGUUAACAAGCAAAUGCCCGAUAUGAAUAAUGCAACAUUAGACCAUGAGCUGCUUUCUGGUUGGCUGGCCACAUAUGGUAAGCUGAAAUAUUGCUGUGGCUGCGGAAAAGGCAGCCGUAGAGACCGCACCUGUGAAGAUGGUGGAGGUGGUGGUGGAUGUGGAGGCGGUGGCAGAGGUGUAGCUGUAGGCGUUUAAAGAUGGUUGUUAGUUGUUACCGGAUUUGACUGUAAUCUGUAAGAGACUGGUUGGGUAAUAUAUAUAACAAGA